CACAAGUCUUACGUGGAAUUCGGCUGCAUAAUAGCGUGACUGCUAAUAAAAAGGGAGGAAACUGGUAAUCAGAUACAGGUAGUCCUUGAGUUACGACUGUAAUGGAGUCUGCCCAUUAUGGCCGGAAGUUACGAUGUUACAAACUUUUUGGUGGUGGCCAUUAAAUGAACAGAUAGUUUGUUAUGGGGCUGUUUAAAUGGAAGCCAGAAAUAAAUGCUGGUGACGUGACCACAGGGCCCUGCUAAUAGCUGUAAACAUGGCCCGGUUGCCAAAUGCUCGCAGUGUGAUUGCGUGACCAUGGGAGGAGUGACUAUUGUAACUUUGAAUCUAGGUAGUAAAUACCCGCAAGGCAGCUCCGUCGUCACUUUGGACGCCCAUUAAGCGACCAGUCAUAAGUCAAGGACUACCUGCAGAAAGGAAUUGGCUGACCAAGGAGAUGAAGAAAGUGUUGUGGUCCAGCAGCUGCUGGCAGACAGACUCGGACAGUAAGGAGGUUGCAGAGGAACGUGGGCCAAUCCUG